GCAUUGGUGGUUCAGUGGUAGAAUCCUUUCCUUUGGUGUGGGAGACCAGGGUUCAACUCCCGCUAAUGCA
rnacentral:tRNA from 1 species